CCUACGGGAGGCUGCAGUCGAGGAUCUUCGGCAAUGGGCGCAAGCCUGACCGAGCGACGCCGCGUGCGGGAUGAAGGCCUUCGGGUUGUAAACCGCCGUCGGAGGGGAGGAAAUGCCUAGGGGUUCUCCCUUAGGUUUGACCUAUCCUCAGAGGAAGUACGGGCUAAGUUCGUGCCAGCAGCCGCGGUAAGACGAACCGUACGAACGUUAUUCGGAAUCACUGGGCUUAAAGGGUGCGUAGGCGGCUUUGCAAGUCGGGUGUGAAAGCCCUCGGCUCAACCGAGGAAUUGCGCCCGAAACUGCCGAGCUUGAGGGACACAGAGGUAAGCGGAACUAAGGGUGGAGCGGUGAAAUGCGUUGAUAUCCUUAGGAACACCAGGAGCGAAAGCGGCUUACUGGGUGUCUUCUGACGCUGAGGCACGAAAGCCAGGGGAGCGAACGGGAUUAGAUACCCUUGUAGUCC
rnacentral:rRNA from 1 species